AGUGAGGAAUUUUGCGCAAUGGGGGAAACCCUGACGCAGCAACGCCGCGUGAGUGAAGAAGGCCCUUGGGUCGUAAAGCUCUGUCAAUGGGGAAGAAGUUAUUAUGUGUUAACAGCACAUUUUAUUGACGGUACCCAUGAAGGAAGCACCGGCUAACUCCGUGCCAGCAGCCGCGGUAAUACGGGGGGUGCAAGCGUUAUUCGGAAUUAUUGGGCGUAAAGGGCACGCAGGCGGUCCUGUCAGUCAGAUGUGAAAGCCCGGGGCUCAACCCCGGACGUGCAUUUGAAACAGCAGGACUUGAGUACGGGAGAGGAAAGGGGAAUUCCUGGUGUAGAGGUGAAAUUCGUAGAUAUCAGGAGGAACACCGGUGGCGAAGGCGCCUUUCUGGACCGAUACUGACGCUGAGGUGCGAAGGCGUGGGUAGCGAACGGGAUUAGAUACCCCGGUAGUCCACGCAGUAAACGUUGUAUGCUAGGUGUAGCGGGUAUUGACCCCUGCUGCGCCGCAGUUAACACAUUAAGCAUACCGCCUGGGGAGUACGGUCGCAAGGUUA
rnacentral:rRNA from 1 species